rnacentral:lncRNA from 1 species
AGAAAACUUUAACAUAAAAGAAGAAAGAGCUAGCAGAGAGAGAGAGAGAGAGAGAGAGAGAGAGUAAUAUAUUAGCUGUCUUCUUUACCUGAUCGUUUCUUGAUAUCUAUAUUUCUGUGUGAAAAACAAUGUUUCUAAAGCCUAAAAGCCAGUGUUAAACAGAAUCACUGCUGAAAAGAAAAACACUGAUAUUGGAAAAGCACAGCUCAUUCAUUCAUUAGCAGAAAUUAUCGAUUUAAGGGUGUGGGACAACUUUGAGAAAAGCCCUUCUCAUUCAUUGUCAGUUUUCUCCGAUUCAGCUCUCUCAGGUCAAUAAUUUCUUGUUACAUAGUUUCAGCUAAUGGGCAGAAUGUUUGUGUUUUUUAGCUGCUUUUUGAUGUUGAAAGCAGAGCAAAAAAUUGAAUGAAUAAUAGAGAUAUAUGUAUGUAAUGUAUGUAUACAUUACAGACAGCUAAGACCCAUCACAUUGUAUCUUCAACAUCAUUAUCCUUCAGCCCCAAAAUCAAUUGAUGAACUAUUCGUAAAAGUACUGUUCAUUUACUGCUCUCGACUUUUCUGUAUUGAUAUUGGAAUUUUGUAGGUUGGGGGAGGUUCAUUCUACGAUCUGAGUGCUUUUGGGUUUUGGCUUCACUUUUUUAACCAGCUACAGGUCACUGAAGACUUCAACUCUCGUGUCAUUUCAACGAUUUUGGGUCGUCGUCUUUUAGCAUUUUGGACAUUUGGGAUGCUUUUGCAUUUUGUGAUAUGAAGUGGCAGAGGAA